AGAGUUUGAUCCUGGCUCAGGACGAACGCUGGCGGCGUGCUUAACACAUGCAUGUCUAGGAGAAAGGGAAUCUUCGGAAUCCCAAGUAAACUGGCGGAUGGGUGCGUAACACGUAGGCAACUUGCCCUGAAGAGGGGAAUAACUCGCCGAAAGGCGGGCUAAUACCGCAUGACAUCCCGGGAUCGCAUGGUACCGGGAUUAAAGAUUUAUCGCUUCAGGAUAGGCCUGCGGCCUAUUAGCUUGUUGGUAGGGUAACGGCCUACCAAGGCAACGAUGGGUAGCUGGUCUGAGAGGAUGAUCAGCCACACUGGCACUGAGACACGGGCCAGACUCCUACGGGAGGCAGCAGUGAGGAAUAUUGGGCAAUGGGCGAAAGCCUGACCCAGCAACGCCGCGUGGGUGAUGAAGCUCUGAGGAGUGUAAAGCCCUGUUAGGAGGGAAGAAAAUCCGGUUUCCGGAAAUGACGGUACCUCCAGAGAAAGCUCCGGCUAACUCCGUGCCAGCAGCCGCGGUAACACGGGGGGAGCAAGCGUUGUCCGGAUUUACUGGGCGUAAAGAGCGUGUAGGCGGGAAGGUCAGUCAGUGGUGAAAUUUUGCGGCUUAACCGUAAACGUGCUGCUGAUACUGCCUUUCUUGAGUACGGAAGAGGGAAGUGGAAUUCCUGGUGUAGCGGUGAAAUGCGUAGAUAUCAGGAAGAACACCAGUAGCGAAGGCGGCUUCCUGGUCCGUUACUGACGCUGAGACGCGAAAGCGUGGGGAGCAAACAGGAUUAGAUACCCUGGUAGUCCACGCCGUAAACGAUGGGCACUAGGUGUUGGAGGUUUCGACCCCUUCAGUGCCGUAGCUAACGCAUUAAGUGCCCCGCCUGGGGAGUACGGUCGCAAGACUGAAACUCAAAGGAAUUGACGGGGGCCCGCACAAGCGGUGGAGCAUGUGGU
rnacentral:rRNA from 1 species